rnacentral:misc_RNA from 1 species
CCGAGUGAGGGCCCUCGGCCCGACCUCCAACCCUUUGUUGACCAACACCUGUUGCCUCGGGGGCGACCCGGACGCCGACGCGUCGGGCACCCCGACGGACCACUUUAACUCUGUAUCUGUACGUCGGAGUUCUUUGCGAAUCAAUUA